GAUUGGAAAGUGAAAGACCCCCGGAGUGGGGAGACCCUCACUCAAGUCUCGGGAUGAAGCAACCCCCCAAGAACUCACACAAGACC
rnacentral:pre_miRNA from 14 species